GCGUCGAUCGUGCAAUUGGUUAGUACGCGCCCUCAGAAAGGGUGAAAUGUGGGUUCAAUUCCCGUUUGACGUC